CACAUCAUGGUGCCAAGAUGAC
rnacentral:piRNA from 1 species